GUUACCUAACCAAACUCCUGCAAAACCACACCACCUAUGCCUGUGAUGGGGACUAUUUCAAUCUACAGUGCCCUCGGCAUUCUACGAUAAGUGUCCAAUCAGCUUUUUAUGGGCAAGAUUACCAAAUGUGUAGUUCCCAGAAGCCUGCCUCCCAGAGGGAAGACAGCUUAACCUGUGUGGCACCCACCACCUUCCAGUUCCCAAGAACAUACUCACAGUGAUUGAUCCAGCCAUUGCUAAUCUAAAACCUUCUUUGAAGCAGAAAGAUGGUGAAUAUGGUAUGAACUCCGACCCCAGGGAAUCAAAGGUUCUGAGGAAAGAUGGAAUUCUUGUUAGCGACUCUCUGGCAGCCUUUGCUUACAUUAGAG
rnacentral:sRNA from 1 species